UACGUAGGGGGGCAAGCGUUGUCCGGAAUCAUUGGGCGUAAAGCGCGUGUAGGCGGCUCGGUAAGUCUGCUCUGAAAGUCCAAGGCUCAACCUUGGGAUGCGGGUGGAUACUGCCGGGCUCGAGUCCGGAAGAGGCGAGUGGAAUUCCUGGUGUAGCGGUGAAAUGCGCAGAUAUCGGGAGGAACACCUGAGGCGAAGGCGGGCUACUGGGCUGAUACUGACGCUGAGGCGCGAAAGCUAGGGGAGCAAACGGG
rnacentral:rRNA from 1 species